GUACAAGUCAAAGCCACAAAUCCUAGAGGAAGUAUACCAAGUAUAACUUCUCCCACCUUGUUCUCACCUUUGAUGUUGUCAUUAGUGCACAGGUUUACCCCUGUGUCAUGAUACAAUUUAGAUGUUAAAAACAAAAAAUAAAAUGUUGGGUAAUCAUGGUAGCCGUCUACAACUGGGCAAGUGACCAAGUACUAGGGUUAGAGACAUAUGGUCUUCUGUAGUGCAGUAAUUUUUUUGUAAUGUUUUGUGCAGUUAUAGGUUACUUCAUUUACAUUUUUAAAAUAUACAACAUGGUUAAGUAUCAGUGAAAGCUGUGUUUGGACUGUGGGAAAGAGGGUCACAUUAGUACUGUCAGUCUGGUACAGGGCUCAGCAAAAAUUCACUGUAGGUACCCCUGUGGUGUCAUAGCAUAAGAAAUGUAUUAUGUAAUACUAUGACUAACAAAGUAAUACCAUCAAUACAUUGGUUUUAAACAAAUUUGAAUUUCAAAUUGAAUGAUAACGAGAAAUUCUCAAAAUAUAGGAAAUAAAAAUUUUAUUCGUUUUGAUUAGGCCCCAUAGUUUUUAACUGUACAAUAUCCAUCUUGCAGUAGGCAGAGACUGUAGGUGGAACAGGCUAUGUUAAGCUUCCUGUAGGCCGGGGUGUAAACCAUUCUAAGCCUUGACCUUGAACAGUUCCCAAUCCCUGUGCUAGCAUCAGCAAAAUCUUCACAUCCUAAUGGACUCUGCAGACACUUAUACAAUACGAGAAAUAUUGCAUUGGAGUUUUUCUAAAAAAAAACAGAAGACCAAUGAAAAGAAUUUUUUUUUUGUUUUUUUUUUGCAAAGGUGAAUGAGCUGAAGGAGGUCUCACCAUUCUAUAAAAGCGAAACACUUCAUUUGAGAAGAAAAGAGGAAACCAUUUGCAUCAUACACCUACGGAAACGAAGGAGCCUUGAAGCUGCAGGACUGGGGGGAUGGAGAAUGAGGUGUACUUCCAGAACUACAAGCCCCCAGCCCGUGAUGCCAUCUACCUGCCCAUGCAUGUGCUGUACAUUCUUAUUGCAGUCACUGUCAUUCUCACCACCCUGUAUGCCAUCAUCGGACACCUCAUUAAAGACCUGAUCCACGACCUGGCAGAUUAUCUGUUUGGAGAGCAGCCUGAGGAGGUGCUGGUGAACCUUUGUGAGGCACGUGAUAAGUUCAGUGCUGACUGGAUGCCGGAGACGACCCCCGAGCUGGAAGAGUUGGCACGGGCAGAGCAGAUAAAGGUGGUGAUUGAGGGCAACACCUUCACCCCUGCCAUCUGGAUCAUCUCAGACCACAUAGAGCCACGUCCACUACGAACUGGACCUCGUGUGGCCUUUGAGAAGAACACCAAGGCAUGGUCACCCAUUCGUGAAAUUUGAAAAAACUUUGAUGCUGCCUGAUGGACACCAAGCACACACCAGAUCACCAGUCUGUUGCCAGCAUAUGGAUAACAUUAAAGAAAUGCCACUGGCUCAUGUGUUCUGCAUGAAUUGCACUGACUGUAGAGCUCGGUUUGUUUUGAAACAAAUCAAAAAGUAUGAUACAGAAAUCAAAACUAAAUGCAUUUGCUACUGCUAAGUGCAUGAUUUGCUGAUGAGGCUUUUUAAAUUCUCUGUUAAUUGAAACUGUCUGUAAACCCUCCGGCAGGUUAGAAAGCUGACGAUGACACCUAGUGCCCUUAAUGGAUAAUACAGAGGCAUGCUUAUAACCUUUGACAGGGUCUACGAAGAUAUGAGAGAGAAGUUGCUGCUAUGGAUUUCGCAUGUUUUGUAAUAGUGAUGUGCCACAAAAGUUUAAGUGAAGUGAAACACUGUAGCACAGCACACAAUGCACACAACACGGUGCUUUGCUCAGUGGCACCUUGGUGGCUCUGGAUUUGAACCUGCAACCUUCUGAUUAUGGGUCCACUUCCUUAACCACUAGGCCACCACUGCCCCAAUCAAUGAAAUAUGUUGUGUAACUUUGUUCUCUAUGGGAAUAAAUUGUUCUGCAGCUAAUGACA
rnacentral:lncRNA from 1 species